rnacentral:rRNA from 1 species
AGCGAACGCUGGCGGCAGGCCUAACACAUGCAAGUCGAGCGCCCGUAGCAAUACGGGAGCGGCAGACGGGAUAGUAACACGUGGGAACGUACCCUUCAGUUCGGAACAACCCAGGGAAACUUGGGCUAAUACCGAAUACGUCCGUAAGGAGAAAGAUUUAUCGCUGAAGGAUCGGCCCGCGUCUGAUUAGCUAGUUGGUGAGGUAAUGGCUCACCAAGGCGACGAUCAGUAGCGGUCUGAGAGGAUGAUCAGCAUCACUGGGACUGAGACACGGCCCAGACUCCUACGGGAGGCAGCAGUGGGGAAUAUUGGACAACGGGCGCAAGCCUGAUCCAGCCAUGCCGCGUGGAUGAUGAAGGCCCUAGGGUUGUAAAGUCCUUUCGGCGGGGGAAGAUAAUGACGGUACCCGCAGAAGAAGCCCCGGNUAACUUCGUGCCAGCCGCCGCGGU